UUUUCACUUUACAAAGAGAGUGUUUAACAUGGUCAAGAUUAAAAAUGUACUAAUGUAACAAACAAACAAAUUGGCUUUAAUAGGCCCUCAAAGCCCCUUUUUCCCCAUUAAAACCCAUUAUCUCGCCAUAAUUUAUAUAGAUAUGUGCUCUAAUGGCGCCAUUGUAGGACUAUUAAUUAUUUACGUGUUUAACUCUAUUGGUGAUGAUUACUUUACUAAGUAAUUAAAUCAUCGAUUGGAAUUCUGUAGCUAUAUAAAACCCUGUCACUCUCCAUACACGCUGAUAAGUUCGUAGAGCAACCACUGGUGAUUAGGAUUUGGAACUGCGGCAGCAUUUCCAAAAAAGUUGACAGAAAAAUACAGUACAGACGAAAUGCAUACUCUUCACCAAGUAUUUCUCACAGUUGUGGCAGUUUUCUUCCUGAUCGGUAGUUUAGGAGCUCACCCUGGAGCCUUCCUAGACGAAACGGACAUAUGCAUUUUAAUCUGUGAUAAGUGUUUCAAAAAUCAAGCGCUUUUAAAUUGUGCGAACCACUGCCUUGCCACAUCUGGACAAGUAAGUUCGUCUUGGAAACAAAAGUGCCCUUAUUUUAGUUCUAACCAACCCGCUGUAAAAUAUAUUUAAACUUAAAAUUCAUGUGAGUUAUGCAACCAGUUAUACGCUAGACACUUCAGGCACUCGUCAGUAUUGUAUUGUAUCGACCCUGUACAUCCACCAAGCACAAGGAAAACUGUAAUUAGAUGCUUAUCUUUUAUUUCAAAUGAAAUAUGUAUACUCUUACAAAAUUAAUAUAUUAUUCUUAAAAUUUUACAAA